rnacentral:snoRNA from 1 species
CCCCUGGAUGAUGAGGAUCUAGUAUCCUAUGUGCCGGUCGGGCUGGACUUCGACUACAACCCUGUAGUCUCGUCGGUGACCGGGAGAUCGGAGCCGAUCAUGGUGGGCGAGCUGUAUGCACAGCUCGUAGGCUUCGAAA